rnacentral:rRNA from 1 species
UACGGGGGGAGCAAGCGUUGUUCGGAUUUACUGGGCGUAAAGGGCGCGUAGGCGGUCGUGACAAGUCACUUGUGAAAUCUCCGGGCUUAACUCGGAACGGUCAAGUGAUACUGUCGGACUAGAGUACAGAAGGGGCAACUGGAAUUCUCGGUGUAGCGGUGAAAUGCGUAGAUAUCGAGAGGAACACCAAUUGCGAAGGCAGCUCGCUACACAUAUAUUGACUCUGAGGCACGAAAGCGUGGGGAUCAAACAGG